UACGUAGGGGGCAAGCGUUGUCCGGAUUUAUUGGGCGUAAAGAGCUCGUAGGCGGUUUGGUAAGUCGGGUGUGAAAUCUCCACGCUCAACGUGGAGGGGCCACUCGAUACUGCCAUGACUCGAGUCCGGUAGAGGAGUGUGGAAUUCCCGGUGUAGCGGUGAAAUGCGCAGAUAUCGGGAGGAACACCCGUAGCGAAGGCGGCACUCUGGGCCGGAACUGACGCUGAGAAGCGAAAGCAUGGGGAGCGAACAGG
rnacentral:rRNA from 1 species